GACGAACCGAGCGAACGUUGUUCGGAAUCACUGGGCUUAAAGGGCGCGUAGGCGGGUGCUCAAGUCCGGGGUGAAAUCCUCCAGCUCAACUGGAGAACUGCCUUUGAUACUGGCGAACUUGAGUGCGUGAGGGGUAGGGGGAACGAGCAGUGUAGCGGUGAAAUGCGUAGAUAUUGCUCGGAAGGCCAGAGCCGAAGGGGCCCUACUGGUGCGCAACUGACACUGAGGCACGAAAGCGUGGGGAGCAAACAGG
rnacentral:rRNA from 1 species